GAUGAACGCUGGCGGCGUGCCUAAUACAUGCAAGUCGAGCGAACGGACGAGAAGCUUGCUUCUCUGAUGUUAGCGGCGGACGGGUGAGUAACACGUGGAUAACCUACCUAUAAGACUGGGAUAACUUCGGGAAACCGUAGCUAAUACCGGAUAAUAUUUUGAACCGCAUGGUUCAAAAGUGAAAGACGGUCUUGCUGUCACUUAUAGAUGGAUCCGCGCUGCAUUAGCUAGUUGGUAAGGUAACGGCUUACCAAGGCAACGAUGCAUAGCCGACCUGAGAGGGUGAUCGGCGACACUGGAACUGAGACACGGUCCAGACUCCUAAGGGAGGCAGCAGUAGGGAAUCUUCCGCAAUGGGCGAAAGCCUGACGGAGCAACGCCGCGUGAGUGAUGAAGGUCUUCGGAUCGUAAAACUCUGUUAUUAGGGAAGAACAGAUGUGUAAGUAACUGUGCACAUAUUGACGGUACCUAAUCAGAAAGCCACGGCUAACUACGUG
rnacentral:rRNA from 1 species